UACGUAGGGGGCAAGCGUUGUCCGGAAUCAUUGGGCGUAAAGAGCGUGUAGGCGGCCCGGUAAGUCUGUUGUGAAAGUCCAGGGCUCAACCCUGGAAAGCCGAUGGAUACUGCCGGGCUAGAGUUCGGAAGAGGCGAGUGGAAUUCCUGGUGUAGCGGUGGAAUGCGCAGAUAUCAGGAGGAACACCUAUAGCGAAGGCAGCUCGCUGGGACGACACUGACGCUGAGACGCGAAAGCGUGGGGGAGCGAACAGG
rnacentral:rRNA from 1 species